rnacentral:tRNA from 2 species
GGGGGAUUAGCUCAUUUGGCUAGAGUAUCCCGAUGAAAAAUCGGGAAGGUGACAGUUCGAAUAUGGUAUUCUUCA